rnacentral:rRNA from 1 species
GUAGGUGGCAAGCGUUGUCCGGGAAUUAUUGGGGCGUAAAGCGCGCGCAGGCGGUUCUUUAAGUCUGAUGUGAAAGCCCACGGGCUCCACCGUGGAGGGUCAUUGGAAACUGGAGAACUUGAGUACAGAAGAGGAAAGCGGAAUUCCACGUGUAGCGGUGAAAUGCGUAGAGAUGUGGAGGAACACCAGUGGCGAAGGCGGCUUUCUGGUCUGUAACUGACGCUGAGGCGCGAAAGCGUGGGGAGCAAACAGGAUUAGAUACCCUGGUAGUCCACGCCGUAAACGAUGAGUGCUAAGUGUUAGGGGGUUUCCGCCCCUUAGUGCUGCAGCUAACGCAUUAAGCACUCCGCCUGGGGAGUACGGCCGCAAAGGCUGA